UACGAAGGGGGCUAGCGUUGUUCGGAAUUACUGGGCGUAAAGCGCGCGCAGGCGGCUAUCCAAGUCAGUGGUGAAAGCCCGGAGCUCAACUCCGGAACUGCCAUUGAAACUGUUUAGCUUGAGGACGAGAGAGGUGAGUGGAAUUCCCAGUGUAGAGGUGAAAUUCGUAGAUAUUGGGAAGAACACCGGUGGCGAAGGCGGCUCACUGGCUCGUUUCUGACGCUCAGGCGCGACAGCUUGGGGAUCAAACAGG
rnacentral:rRNA from 1 species